CGUUCUAUUGCCGAAUUGGUAAAGGCAUCGCCGAUCACAGGCGAGGGUUCGAGUCCCGCUGGAACGA
rnacentral:tRNA from 1 species